UAAGUUUUAAAUAAAUGAAAGAAGUUCAAAAAGUUAGAAAAAUUAUACAAGAAUGACAACUUAAAGAAUACAAGGGCUGAUUAUGUAAAUGUUGAAACUAAACAAGGAAUAAAAAAAAAAGAAAGUGCAGUGUGUGUUGGUGGGGUGUGCGACGCAGGAAAGGGGAGGAGAGGGGAAAACCCUUCUUCUCCAAAUCAUCAAGAACUUAUCAAUUGGAGGCGUUUAUGGAUGAAAUUCGUAUGCAUGUGAUCGAUUUCUCAAUCAUCUAAGGGUUUCCAACAUGGGGAACGUGUCAAGGAGAGGUCAAGCAUAGGAGGAUAACGGGUCAAGAUAAGGCAAGGUGACAAAUACACUUAUUGGAGUACUCGAGGUAAGUGAAUUUCGAUUCACUUUUUAGUAGGUUUAAUAGAUUUUAAUACUUAUGUUUAUGAAACAUCAUGAAAGAACAUGUAAUAAUCAGAAGUACAAAGCUAAUAAUGCCUCAUUAUUGAAGAAGGUUGUUAUUUAAGCCGAAAGUAAAUUGGUGGGUUUAAACGGGUCAAAUUUUAUGUGAAUGUGUUGCGUAAUGUAAUGAAAUUCGUUAUGGUUAAGACCUUGGGUAAGAAUUUUUAGUCAUUUAUGUAAGGGGAACAUUUUCCGGACCAUUAGGAACAAGUUUUAUAUGAUUUGGUUGUGUAUGGGUCAGGAUAUGGUAGUUUUAAUGUUUAAAAUGGAAGUUGAGUUGGGCACUACCGUAGCUUACGGUAGCCACCGUAAGCUACGGUGGGUUCUGAAGUCUUUCUGGCCACCGUAAGGCAGUAGCACUUCACCGUAAGGGUUUUAUGGCCACCGUAAGCUACGGUAGCCACCGUAGCUUACGGUGGAGCUGUCGCGCCCUGCGUAAUAGUAAGCUAUGGCUUACGCGACCCGCGAGGGACCGUGCUGUUGGCUUUUUGCUGAAAUUGUGAUGUUUUGAGUAUGGGACUUGUCUAAAAAUGAUUUUUCUAAGGCCACAUACGUUAUGUUAAGGAUGGUUUCGUAUAUCAAUGAUGUUAAAGGUUGUCGGUUAGUGAAUGAACGGAUUGUUUCGUGUUAGUGUAGGAAAUUUAUAAGUAUAUAUAUAUAUGUAUGUAUGUAUGUAUGAUAAUAAGUAUGUAGGUGCGAAUGUAUGUGUGAAUGAAUGUUCAAUGCUUAAGACAUAUGCAUGAACGUUAUCAAAGUGCUCGAGUAUUUAUGGUUACUAAUGAUGUGCGUUGAGUUGGAAUGUAAUGUAGGUAUGGGAUUGUUGGCUUCAUGAAGAAAUGGAGCUGGAUUUGGAUAAGAGUAUCGCUUGGGUUUUCUCUACAUUUAUUGAAGUGAAGCGGACUUAGUUCGAGUUGAGAGCAAGGAUUGUACGGGGUAGAAUGGUCACAUAGUGUAACUCAUAUAGGUUUUGAAGUAUUAAUGUUAUAAAACGUUAUAAAUCCGUUUUAAUGAAUAUAUGGCAUUUCGCAUUUGAACCUUCAUGUGUUUGAUAUGUCUAUUAAAGAACGAAA